rnacentral:rRNA from 1 species
UGAAUACGAGACGCUAAGGCGUCGAAGUAGUGUAUGUCAUACUUCCAAGAAAAGCUUGCACUGUCAUAGAUAAAAAACGCCUGUACCAUAACCGACACAGGUGGAUAGGUAGAGUAUACUAAGGGGCGCGAGAUAACUCUCUCUAAGGAACUCGGCAAAAUAACUCCGUAACUUCGGGAGAAGGAGUGCCUUAUUCGUAAGGUUGCAAUAACAAGAUCCAAGCAACUGUUUAUCAAAAACACAGGUCUCCGCUAAGUCGUAAGACGAUGUAUGGGGGCUGACGCCUGCCCAGUGCCAGAAGGUUAAAGAAGUUGGUUAGCAAUUGCGAAGCUGAUAACUGAAGCCCUGGUGAACGGCGGCCGUAACAAUAACGGUCCUAAGGUAGCGAAAUUCCUUGUCGGGUAAGUUCCGACCCGCGCGAAAGGCGUAAUGAUUUGGAUACUGUCUCGGAGAGGGGCUCGGUGAAAUAGACUUGUCUGUGAAGAUGCGGACUACCUGCACCAGGACAGAAAGACCCUAUGAAGCUUUACUGUAACUUGAAAUUGAAAUUGGACUUUAUUCGCGCAGUAUAGGUGGGAGGCGUUGAUUAUAAUCUUGUGGGAUUAUUGGAGCCAUCAGUGAGAUACCACUCUUGUAAUGUUAGAUCUCUAACUUUGAAUCAUUAUCUGGUCAAAGAACAGUUUCAGGCGGGCAGUUUGACUGGGGCGGUCGCCUCCUAAACGGUAACGGAGGCGUACAAAGGUUUCCUCUGAACGGUUAGAAAUCGUAUCUAGAGUGUAAAGGCAUAAGGAAGCUUGACUGUGAGACCUACAAGUCGAGCAGGGACGAAAGUCGGUCUUAGUGAUCUGACGGUACUGAGUGGAAAGGCCGUCACUCAACGGAUAAAAGUUACUCUAGGAUAACAGGCUGAUCUCCCCCAAGAGUUCACAUCGACGGGGAGGUUUGGCACCUCGAUGUCGGCUCAUCGCAUCCUGGGGCGGUAGUACGUCCCAAGGGUUGGGCUGUUCGCCCAUGAAAGCGGUACGCGAGCUGGGUUCAGAACGUCGUGAGACAGUUCGGUCCAUAUCCGGUGUAGGCGUUAGAAUAUUGAGAGGAGCCUUCUUUAGUACGAGAGGACCGAGAAGGACAUACCUCUGGUGUACCAGUUAUCGUGCCAACGGUAAACGCUGGGUAGCUAUGUAUGGAGUGGAUAACCGCUGAAAGCAUCUAAGUGGGAAGCCCACCUCAAGAUAAGUAUUCUCAUC